rnacentral:rRNA from 1 species
UUGCCUACGGGACGCAGCAGUAGGGAAUCUUCCACAAUGGGCGAAAGCCUGAUGGAGCAACGCCGCGUGGGUGAUGAAGGUUUUCGGAUCGUAAACCUCUGUCAGAAGGGAAGAAAGUGCGUGGUGCUAAUCAGCCGCGUAUUGACGGUACCUUCAAAGGAAGCACCGGCUAACUCCGUGCCAGCAGCCGCGGUAAUACGGAGGGUGCGAGCGUUAAUCGGAAUUACUGGGCGUAAAGCGCACGUAGGCUGUUGUGUAAGUCAGGGGUGAAAUCCCACGGCUCAACCGUGGAACUGCCCUUGAUA